UAAAAGAUAUUUGUAUAUAUUGUUCCCAC
rnacentral:piRNA from 1 species